rnacentral:lncRNA from 1 species
AUCCCGCUAACAUGUUUAACCCAGCCACAUUAUUUAUGUAUGUGCCUGUCCCAAGUCAGGAACCUGUAAUUCAGUGGUUGUCGUUUUUUUAUGUGUUACAUAUUUGUUUUUCGUUAUUUUUUUUUUUACAUAAAUAAGGCCGUUAGUUUUCUCGUUUGAAUUGUUUUACAUUGUCUUAUCGGGGCCUUUUAUAGCUGACUAUGCAGUAUGGGCUUUGCUCAUUGUUGAAGGCUGUACGGUGACCUAUAGUUGUUAAUGUCUGUGUCAUUUUGGUCUUUUGUGGAUAGUUGUCUCAUUGGCAAUCAUACCACAUCUUCUUUUUUAUAUUAACAUCGCUCAUAUUCAUAAGUUUGUUGCCUAUAAUUCAGAUCAUUACUACCAGUAUAUCGGGAUUUUUUUUUACUCAAAAACGUUUAAGCAUGGGUCCCUUUUCAAAAGUCUUCCAACUGUUACCCUGAUUUCGCAAGGUAAUCUUUUAUAUUUUUGUUACGUUUAUAUGCUAUAAUAAACAAUUGAGUAAACAUUUCACUGCAUUCUUUGUUUUUUUUGCAGAUUGUUCCAAUGUUUUCUUAUAAUUUUAAUAAAGUUUUUCACCAUUUGGUUAUAUUUUGUAAUAAGAGUAAG